CCUGAUAAAGCCAAACUCACCGUGAGGUGAGGACGGAAAGCCACGGGUCUUGCAAAAGAAAGCCGGGUUGCCUGGA
rnacentral:ncRNA from 1 species